UUCUCAGUUGAUCUGUCCUCCUGUAUAGAUGACAAAAUCGAGGCUCAGAGAAUGAAAUGACCUGCCUAAGGCCAUACAGAUGUCACAGGAGGGGCUGUAAUUUGAACUCAAGUCUGAUUCCAGAGCUUGAGGACCUCACUCCCUCCGUGCUGCUUCCCUCCUGGAAUCAUGGAAAGAACCGUGGAAUUCUGGAGCACUGGAGGCUAGUGGGUCCACCAUCACGUUACUGCCAGGGAUCUCAGGGGUCUGGGGAGCCAAGAUGCCUGUCCCAGGACACAUGCAAGUUCAGAGGCCUCCUCCAGACACCGGCAACCCCAGGCUGCCUGGCGUCUUCACUUCCCCUGGGUGCUCACCACUGUCUCCUGUCUUUCCUCCCCCACCCACUGCCCAGGGAGCUGCGGUGCGGGGAACCCGGGACUUAUCAAGACAAAGAACAAAAGUCGUAGGGGGAAAGAAGCCAAGAGCCAUCUCCACUCUGGGGUAGGGCCCUUCAGUUUCGCCCCUUUGAAAUUUCAAAUUCCAGUUUGUGGACAAAGUCCUCACUUUCUCACAAUAUAGGUCCCCAACCACUGACCAAACUCCAGUCCAGGCAGCCAGCAGGCCCAGGGCUGGUGAGGCUUUGCUGCUUCCUUUGGCAGCUCUCAAGGUCCAGGGGGAGGGGUCCUGGGCCAGCUGGGGUUGGCCAGGCCAUCCCUGCAGCCCCAGCCCACCUCACAAGGACCCCUGCCUGCCACCUGAGAGGACAGCCCUCUUCCUGGAGCCAGGAGCUGACGCUUGCUGGUACCAACAGCAGAUACCAGAACUUCAAGACUGAACAGGAUGUCUCAGCCAACUCACCCAUUUGGUGGAUGGAAACACUGAGGUCCCCAGGGGAGUGCCAGCUGGCUCCAGGUUGAACCUGAGGGGAUCAACCCAGGACCCUUCACUGAGCCCUGAAGAUGGAAGACACAUGCUCAAGGCCAUUUAGCGGCAGCAGGGGGAGCUUGGCCUUAACAAGAAGACCAUGAACUCUGUGAGGACCCCUCUGCUUCAUCGCAGCCCUCAAGGAGCCUGGCAGUGCCUCCUACAGACCCCAGAAGGUGGAGCGUCUGUUCAUUCAGUCACUGAUGGCCAUUCACUGGGAUGCCACGGAAGUACUUCCUAGAGGAAGAUGAAGAAGCUUGGGGCUGAAGGCCAGUGGAUUUGGAAGGAAACAUUUAUGUGGUUAACUGAUAACUCAGCCCCAUCCUUGGGCCCCUGGAAGCCUCCUUCCUCCCUGUCCUCAGCAUGAUUAAGACGAACUUACCUGCCUGCUAAUCAUUGCUGAGCCUGUUGAUUUUGCCUUAAAAAAUUAACUGGGCAUGAGUUUGCUGUUUGCCUCACCCCUAACCCUGCAAAGCAAAGGCCUGGGUGGGCAGGAGGCCACCCCGGUUAUGCAAGAGGCCGUCGGCCUCCCCACGCAAGCCAGCAACCCCUCUGCUGCUCUCCAAAGGAUCUGAGCAUUCAGAGAGGUGCUGAACUACCUGAAGGGUUUGUGAAGCCUGAGCUUCAACCUGGGUGCCUUUGCAGACAAGCCGUGUAGCUCUCAGUAAGUCAUACCUCUUUGCUAAGCCUCAGUGUGCCCAUCUGUUAAAAGGGUGCCUGUGCCCAUGCAAUGAGGAUAGAAUGUCCACAAGCUAAUUUCAGGGUAUUGUUUUUUUUUAAGCAUCAUCUCUUUAUUUUUUACAUGCUCUGUUUUGGCAAGGGAGGUAAUUAGUUUUGUUUAUUUAUUUAUUAUUGGGUUUUUUUAUUGUUAUUUUUUAAAUGGAAGUACUGGGGAUUGAACCAAGGACCUUAUGCAUGCUAAGCAUGCACUCCACCGCUGAGCUAUACCUUCCCUUCAGUUACCUUUUACAAGCGUUGACCUGAAAUGGUCCCAACUCAAGAGACAGGGACCACUGGGCCUCCAAGGCUCCAAGAAACUGGUUGGCUACUAUUGGAUGAAUGUAGGUAGGUUUCAGGAUCAAGAUUAUUUAAUGAAUACCUUUUAUUGGAUGGACAAAGACUUAUGGGUUUGAGGCCUGAGCAUCACGAAACUGCUGUCAGUGCUUCUUCCAGCCCUGGCUCUCUGAGGACUGAGUAAAUUAAAGACUCAGGCCUCUUUCCUGGAGGCCAGAGAAAAAAUAGUUGUAACAGGUAAGAAGGAAGGGAAGGAGGCUGUUUUCUUCUGGCACAUGCUGAACAUUUAGGAAAUGGAAUCAGGAGGGAAAAUUCAGAUUGGUAGAGUGAGCCCCACUCAUGUCCUUAAAAAAAAAAAAAACAACCCUGGUCUCUGGGAAGGGAGUCUUAGAGGGACAGACCCAGCUGGAGGCCUGCCGGAGCCCAGAGAAACUUCAGACCCGUGGGAGCCGGUUGAACUUGAGCCCAGAGAAGCACAUGUUCCUGUUGCAGCUGCCUUGGUAGCUGGGAGGGCAGGCAGAACACGGCCUCCCCAUCUUGUACGGUGCCUCGCCGAUCCAGUUACCCCUGGAAGAGAAAAGGUCGCAGGGAGGCGGGGUCGGGGGACGGUGACAUGAGCCACCUUCGCACAGAUUUCCAAGUCUCAGCACUGCUUGUGACCAAGUCACCCUUGCAAGCCUCGGUUUCUUCAUCUGUAAAACCAUUAGACUUUCCUCCCUCCCAGGGAUGCAGCGCAGGUUAAAUAACGGAGCCACGUGUGCAGGUAGGAUUAGCCCUAUUUUACAAGAGGAGACUGAGACCUACGGAGUGGAAAUGACUCAUCCAAAGACUUCAGUGUGUACGUGGUAGAGCUGAGAAACCCAGGCCUGGUAACAAAAAUAGGAACCAACAAGCAUUCCAAAAUUAUUAUGCGCCUGGGGGCAUUACCUGGGACAGCUCACUUAAUUCUCUCAACAAUUGUAUGAGUAGAUACCAUUUCCUUCCCAUUUUGCGGAUGUCCUUCCCUCUUUCCUUCCUUCUUUCUGCCUUUCAUCUCUUCAAUGCUAAGUAUUUUGUAAAUGAUGAAGGGCUACACGAGAGUAAAAGGCAGUUAUCAUGAUGUAAUAUUGAAAGUCUAAAUACCAUUUUUACUUAGAACCUGUUCUUGCUUUUGUAUGAGCAUCUGUAACGUUUGCAAAUUUGUAUACUGUCACGUUGUGUGGGAAUUCCCAUUCUCCUUUCUCCGUGUUUCCAAGAGACGUGGGUAUGAAGACCACACUUGUCCUCUCUCCCACCAAGCUGAUUGGAGAGUCUGAGCAAGCUCAUUCCAUCCUUCCUUUCUUUCCUUUGGGAUGUGCCUGCCUGCAGGGAGCAUGCAUUCUUGGUUGCUCUAUUUCUUGCGGUAAGCUUAGAGGGGCUGGCCCUGCACUUAGGAGAAGAGGCCUGUGGUUGUCCAGUGUGGUCUGCCAAUGGAUCUGAAGGUCUAGUUCAACAGUGAGAGAUUUGCAAGCCCACUUGGCUGGCAGAUUGAAGCCACAUUCUCCACUACUGACAUCAUCAGUGAGACUGCCUAUCCACCUGCCUUGGUCCUCUACCUCCCAAUCGAUUCUGAAACUUGGAUAGCAAGAAACUUAGAAAACAGAAAACACGAGAAGAUGUUUGAACCUAUUGAAAUUGAAUACACUUUUGAACUUGUCAGACCAAACAUCUCCAUUUUGGGGUCAAACAAUAUGGUCUGACUGCCUAAGACGCUCAAAACGAGACCAAGACUUCACGAGAUCCACCACCGAGCGGUACCUGGGGAGGCAGAGAAGAUGGAGGAAAAGUCACUCUGCCACCAGCGUGCUCGGUGACCUUGUUGAAUGAGCGAGUGAAGGAAGAGCUCAACUCACCGGCCAGAAUGGAUGGAGAGGUUCUGGCCCACGUAUCUCAUCAGCUGUGGGGGCCCGUGGGACCAAAUGCACUGGGUGGCCCAGGCCUCAGCAGACCUGGCCAGCUGCUCAUCCCAGACCUCGGAGAAAAGACAGGUCAUGAAAUUCCCCGGGGGAACAACUGCCAUCAUCUCGACAGUGCCUAGAGAUGCACGUACACAGUACCAUUACUCCCCCGUCUCCUCGGAACCCUGCAAAAACCCACCUGAUAAAUUAGAAGACCGAAACUCAAGGUCAACAGCAAGUCCACACCAGAGCCAGAGCCACACCUAGGUUUCUGACUCCUAGCCAGAUGCCCUUUUUCUCUCCCUUGGCUUCAAGCCUGAGGCUCUCUGCUCCAAGCAGGAUCCCAGGGUAUUGGCCCGGGAGUUCCCAGCAUCCCUAGAAGUGACUGCGCCCAGGGUGAUGGGAAGAGAAUGGAUUUUUAAAUUGUAUUUAUUUUAUUUUUAAAAUGUGUUCAUUUUAACAUUAAAAAAUUAAUUCAAAAGGG